rnacentral:rRNA from 1 species
GAACGCUGGCGGCGCGCUAACACAUGCAAGUCGAACGAUUAAAGCACCUUCGGGUGUGUAUAAAGUGGCGAACGGCUGAGUAACACGUGGGCAACCUGCCCCUCUCAUUGGGAUAGCCACGGGAAACCGUGGAUAAUACCGAAUACUUCGAGACUUCCGCAUGGAGGACUCGAGAAAGCUCCGGCGGAGAGGGAUGGGCCCGCGGCCUGUUAGCUUGUUGGUGGGGUAACGGCCUACCAAGGCAAUGAUGGGUAGCUGGGUUGAGAGACCGACCAGCCAGAUUGGGACUGAGACACGGCCCAGACUCCUACGGGAGGCAGCAGUGGGGAAUCUUGCACAAUGGGCGAAAGCCUGAUGCAGCGACGCCGCGUGCGGGAUGAAGGCCUUCGGGUUGUAAACCGCUUUCAGCAGGGACGAGGCGAAAGUGACGGUACCUGCAGAAGAAGCCCCGGCUAACUACGUGCCAGCAGCCGCGGUAAUACGUAGGGGGCAAGCGUUAUCCGGAUUCAUUGGGCGUAAAGCGCUCGUAGGCGGUCUGUUAGGUCGGGAGUUAAAUCCGGGGGCUCAACCCCCGUUCGCUCCCGAUACCGGCAGACUUGAGUUUGGUAGGGGAAGGUGGAAUUCCUAGUGUAGCGGUGGAAUGCGCAGAUAUUAGGAAGAACACCAGUGGCGAAGGCGGCCUUCUGGGCCAUAACUGACGCUGAGGAGCGAAAGCUAGGGGAGCAAACAGGAUUAGAUACCCUGGUAGUCCUAGCCGUAAACGAUGGACACUAGGUGUGGGGGAAUAUUUCUUCCGUGCCGCAGCUAACGCAUUAAGUGUCCCGCCU